rnacentral:rRNA from 1 species
UACGGGGGGGGCAAGCGUUGUUCGGAUUUACUGGGCGUAAAGGGCGCGUAGGCGGUCAGCACAAGUCAGUUGUGAAAUCUCCGGGCUUAACUCGGAAAGGUCAACUGAUACUGUGCGACUAGAGUGCAGAAGGGGCAACUGGAAUUCUCGGUGUAGCGGUGAAAUGCGUAGAUAUCGAGAGGAACACCUGCGGCGAAGGCGGGUUGCUGGGCUGACACUGACGCUGAUGCGCGAAAGCGUGGGGAGCAAACAGG